AGUAUAUCACAACACGUUACCUAGGUUAUCAUUACACCAUGACAGGAAUAGGCUGCAAUAUGAAGAAUAGAAAAUAUGGGCAAAAAUGUGAGGGGUCGGACGUACAUCAGACGAAAACAGGUUUUAUGCUUUUAGAGUUCAUGUCAAAAUCUCUGUGAUUUUUGUGAUGCAGGUACUAAAAUUGUAAUAUGAGCUGUUAGCUAAAGGAUGAAUCUUAAAAGAAAUGAAGCAAAGAAAUUGAUAGGCAUUGCCUUGUUUUAGUUACAGGCUGAUCUAUUUGGGGUCGGACGUACACUUUGAAGGGAUCAGUUACACAAAACAUAGACAUUCUAAACUGGAUUUUUUUAAAUAUACAUACUGUUUGGUUAGUUGUCUUUCACAUAAGACGGAAUUAACAAAUGAAUCUGAUGCUGGUGAAGAGUUAUGCUUGAUUAAAGUUGACAUGCAUUCAGGCAGUGUACGUCCGACCCCAUACUGAUUUUUCUCACAGUCAAGCAAAUUGCUCCUCAUAUUUAUUACAAAUGAGUCAGUGGGUUUAAACUGUUUCCAUUUUGAUAUCUACAUUUUUAGAUCACAUCAAUAAUGAAACAACUCAACUAUUCACACAAUGCAGGAUAUUUUUUACUGUUAAACUUCAAGUAAAAUGUAUCUUUUUUAAUGGUUUGCAAAAGACUUGACAAAGAAUUUCUUCAACAUUAAAAAACUUGUCCUGUUACAAACUAUGUUUGAAUAAGGUGGGUUAUGAACCAUGAGUCUUCCCUGAUGUUGCAAUCAACAAAACAUGCAAUAUGACCUUUUGACCCCUAGAUGACCUUUGAUCUCUCCAUUCUUAAGAACACAUGCAAUUUUCCCCACUGAUCGUUUUGUUCCAAGUUUGGGCAAAAUUAAUGCAAAAAUAUGUCAUUUGACAUUUUUACACCUAGAUGACAUUUGACCUCUCCAUCCUCUUUAACAAAUAUGUUGUACUACCCACUGAUAAUUUGUUCCAAGUUUGAAUACAUUUGAAUACAAUACACAUAAAAAACUACCGGUAUCAAAAGUUAACUUUUGACCCCUUGAGAGCUUGAACAAUUGACCUUGAAAUAACAAAAUGAUCAAAAGUGACCUUUUGACCCCUAAAUGACCUUAGAAAUUAUCAUCUUCAUCAACCAAAAAAUUGUAUUACCCACUGAUUUUGUGUUUCAAGUUUGAACAAUAUUGAUGCAAACAAAAAAAAAAUGAUUUAAACAAAGUCUUCAAAAAAUGACUGAAUGGCCUCUUAUCUUUUAACCUUUUGACCCCUAGAUGACCUUUGACCUCAUCAACACACACAUGGUAUCAACCAAGGAUCAUUUGUACCAAGUUUAAACAAGGUUGAUGCAGAAAAAAAGAAAUGAGAACAAGUCAAAAUUAAAUGAAUAACUCUUCACAUUUUCAUAACUUACACCCCUAUAGGCAAAAGUAGAAUAGUCUAGACAUCCAUGUAUUAUUAUAGCAAAUGGGCAGAUCUAUUUACCAUAGAGGGGCAAUUACUGUACCUGAGAUUGAGGAGAAGUGGCAAUUUCUUCUUUUAUAUGGAACUUCUUUGUUUAUUUAAUUUCUCAUGUAUUGUAGGUUUUUUAUUUUGAUUUUCUUUUUUAAUUUACUGCAGGCUAUUAUUCAGUCAUAAUUACCACUAAAUUCAGUAAGUUAUGUGAUAAUUUGAGAUGAAGGAAGGCAGUUUCCAUUGAAUAUGCACACAAAACACAAAUAAAUCACCAUUUCUUGAAGAUGAUAUCAUCAUUUAAAAAUCUUAUUCUUUGUGAAAUUGGUCUCAAAACUUGUGGAAGAUUUCAAUGAAAAAACCAAUAAAACUUUACAGCGAUAUCAAGGUGUGUUAAAGAACUAUCAUGCAAAAUAUUAAAGAUGGAGGUGAAUUUUGCCCCCACUAUUUGUUGGGUAAAAAAAAUACAAAAAAGGUCAUUUUAAACUAGAUUGAAAUUGAAAUUUGUAUUCAAUUUUGAAAGAUUGAUAAGAGUAAAAGAUGUUAUGAUAUUAAACUUUUGCAAAAACAUCUGAGCAGUGAAAGAUUACUUCAUAAAAAAAAAGUUUCAAAGGGGUCGGACGUACAGGGG